UUAUGGCCCAAAAGAGUAUAAUCAUUCUUAGACUUGAGAGGACAGGGGGAAACCUUAGAAGAAGUAGAAGCAGUUUAGGGAGGGUGGAGAACGAACUAAUCCCCUCCUCUUCCCACCCUAGUGCCCCCACGGAAGAGGCUUCCUGUUGCGGCCCUAAGUAUCUGGAUAUGGGCCAGGGAAGAAGGAAGGGAAAGAGCAAUGCCUCUGUGCUUCAAUCCUUGGCCUUCUCCUCACAGAGUUCUUUUAGGAAGAGCAAGCUUUUGUAAGUAGAGUGGCUCACAAGUGUUUUUAUUUUAUUUUCUGCUCCUCAAGAUCUUGUCUUGUUCCAGUAAUCACCCUUGCCUUCUUCCCUCUUUGUUGAGCCUGUGACAAUGUAGCCCUGCAAUUAGGGCCAAAUUUGUUGUGAAACCAGAGCGUUGAGCACGUUGUCUGGUUUUGACUUGUAUUAUAGAACCAGAAAGGCUAAAAAGUGAGCUUCAAACUCAGGAUUGUGCUUUGAUAGCCGGUUAAUAGACCAGCCGUGGGAAGGUUACAUUGGCUUGUCUUUACGUCUCCUGAUAAACCUACUUAUUUGCAGCCUAUACUUUGAGAUGAAAAACACCAAGAGAAAUGACAUCUGUAUAGUUCUGGGACAGCAAGAAUUCUACAUACUCAAUUUGGAUUCCAUUUCCUUCUGCCACUUGCUUUUAGGCAAUUGAGUGUGGGUAGUGACAAGAUAUCAAACCCCUUAGUGUUUCCUUUUUGGGAAAUGAGGCACUUUUUAAAAAACAAAAACUUAUCCACCUGAGUCCUGAAACAGUUGGUCUCUCCAGUUUUUUGGCCUCCACUCUAGUUAGCUCUGAUCCAAGUUUACAGGACAACAAGCCUUGCUUUAAGCCAUGUUCUGUUGUGGGCAAGAUAACAGCAGCUGAGCUGUCAUAGCCUGGGAGCAGGCUGGUCGCACCCCCAAGGUGUCUUGGCUGGAGGAGAUUUCUGAGCAGCUGAUGUGACUUUGGUCAUUAGGAAGCCUUUGAGGCCUUUUUAAAUUUUCGGUGGGGGGUCUGGGGGUGGGGAAGACACAUAAAAUGCCACUUUAUAACUUCAAUAAUAGCCUGUAAUUUAUAUUUAUUGUGUGAAUUUUUAGUCCUAUAUUUUAAUAAUUUGUAAAUUGAUCUCUUAUUCCAAGAAUCCUUUGAACUUGCCGGAGAACAUCUGGGAAUCCAGUCCCCUGUCCCCAUCCCUGCAUUCUGGACUGUUUAAUCCACUUUGGGAUGGAUCAAAGAGUCUAGAGAGACCACUCAUAGGUCCAGCUGCUGGCCUCCAGACUCUAAAGACUUCACUGGAAUUGGGACAUUAGCUCCAGCUCUAGCUGUGAACAUGACCAGAGACAUUAUUUAUAAUUCAGCCAUUUAAGAUAUACCUGUACUCAAAAAGUCCUGUAUAUUUUUUAAAAGUUUUAUUUUUCAGGUGAACAAAAAUACAUUCUAAGAACUCUACAUAA
rnacentral:lncRNA from 1 species